rnacentral:rRNA from 1 species
UCCGUAGGUGGAUAAUUAAGUCAGGGGCGAAAGUCUGCAGCUCAACUGUAGAAUUGCCUUUGAUACUGGUUAUCUUGAAUUAUUAUGAAGUAGUUAGAAUAUGUAGUGUAGCGGUGAAAUGCAUAGAUAUUACAUAGAAUACCAAUUGCGAAGGCAGAUUACUAAUAAUAUAUUGACACUGAUGGACGAAAGCGUGGGGAGCGAACAGGAUUAGAUACCCUGGUAGUCC